GCCAGACUCCUACGGGAGGCAGCAGUGGGGGAUAUUGCACAAUGGGGGGAACCCUGAUGCAGCGACGCCGCGUGGGUGAAGGAGCGUUUCGGCGCGUAAAGCCCUAUCGGCAGGGAAGAAGGAGGACGGUACCUGACUAAGAAGCCCCGGCUAACUACGUGCCAGCAGCCGCGGUAAUACGUAGGGGGCAAGCGUUAUCCGGAUUUACUGGGUGUAAAGGGGGCGCAGACGGCAGCGCAAGCCAGGAGUGAAAGCCCGGGGCCCAACCCCGGGACUGCUCUUGGAACUGCGCGGCUGGAGUGCAGGAGGGGCAGGCGGAAUUCCUGGUGUAGCGGUGAAAUGCGUAGAUAUCAGGAGGAACACCGGUGGCGAAGGCGGCCUGCUGGACUGCGACUGACGUUGAGGCCCGAAAGCGUGGGGAGCAAACAGGAUUAGAUACCCUAGUACGA
rnacentral:rRNA from 1 species